GACGAACGCUGGCGGCGUGCUUAACACAUGCAAGUCGAACGGAAAGGCCCUGCUUUUGUGGGGUGCUCGAGUGGCGAACGGGUGAGUAACACGUGAGUAACCUGCCCUUGACUUGGGGAUAACUUCAGGAAACUGGGGCUAAUACCGGAUAGGAGCUCCUGCUGCAUGGUGGGGGUUGGAAAGUUUCGGCGGUUGGGGAUGGACUCGCGGCUUAUCAGCUUGUUGGUGGGGUAGUGGCUUACCAAGGCUUUGACGGGUAGCCGGCCUGAGAGGGUGACCGGCCACAUUGGGACUGAGAUACGGCCCAGACUCCUACGGGAGGCAGCAGUGGGGAAUAUUGCACAAUGGGCGGAAGCCUGAUGCAGCAACGCCGCGUGCGGGAUGACGGCCUUUGGGUUGUAAACCGCUUUCGCCUGUGACGAAGCGUGAGUGACGGUAAUGGGUAAAGAAGCACCGGCUAACUACGUG
rnacentral:rRNA from 1 species